UUGUAAAUGAAGUCUGUAAAAACCUCAUGAUGUACAGUAGAGUCGUAUGCAGGAAGCUGUACCCCCAAAAUAGAGAUCCAGCUCAGCCCCUUUGUGACUUUGAAGAGGAUGCUUAAUGUAGGAGACCCUUCAAUCCUGUAGGGGAGGAAAUAAACCUGUUUCUCUACCCUCCUAGGUUCAAUGGCUGGGCCCAGGAAUCAAACUGAUGAAAAACUAUCAAGAGAGAACCAACAACAUUUUAAUUAUGUACACACAAAGUUUUAAUUACAUGCAUACAAGGGAAUCCAGCAAAGAAACAAGACUCAAGGAGGUUGCCGGAUGAUUAAGAAUCCGCAGGGCUCCACAGAACACAGAUGGAAAAACCACUGAAUUUUACUCCACAUCAUAAUGAGAACCUUCAGGAUACUGAGAUUUCCUACAAACUGAGAAGGCCGUAGCUGGAAGACCACUUAGAUCAAUAAUCAGCCAAUCUCUUCAUCUUACAAACGAGGACACAGAGGUACAAGAAACUGAGUGACACGCUGAUGACCACAUGGCUUGCUAGUGGCAGUCAGGCCUAGAACAUACAUCUCUCUUCCUGAUGCAACACAGUUCUCCCUGA
rnacentral:lncRNA from 10 species